rnacentral:lncRNA from 1 species
CAUAUGUUUUAUACCACUAAAAAACAUCUCGUCCUGUCAAUACCUGAAAAUAAUUCUGAGCCUCGACCAAUCAUCCUUUACAAUAAGAAACAUCAAAAUUAAGUUUGUAUAUCCCUAGAACUAGUGGACACCAUGUUGGAACAUUUUGCACUACUUCCCCUAUUACAAGGUCUUCACAAUCAUCUAAGUAGUUGACUUCCAUGAAGAGAUUAGGUCAUUUUUUUCAUUAACAUAAAUGGUUUCGUCCAUCUAUUUUAGUGAAUUUACAAGUUCCUCAAGUUGUAAACACUCCACAUGAUUAAUACAAACUAAACACGAUAAUCCAAACAUUUGUUUGGGAUUAUAUUAUCCAACCAUGAAG